rnacentral:rRNA from 1 species
GUCUUCUUGGUUGUUUAGGAGGUCGGGCCUGCCCGGUGAUAAUUAUUUAACGGCCGCGGUAUCUUGACCGUGCAAAGGUAGCAUAAUCAUUAGUCUUUUAAUAGGGGGCUGGAAUGAAAGGUUUGACAAAGCAUCAGCUGUCUCAAUUUGAUUAUUAAAAUUUAACUUUUGAGUUAAAAGGCUCAAAUUUUGUUGGAAGACGAGAAGACCCUAUAGAGCUUUACAUCUAUGAGUUUUGGAUUUAUUUUGUUGAAUUGAUUAUUUUCUGUUCUUUAGGUGUUUUGUUGGGGAGACAAGAAAUAUUUAAUUAACUUUUAUUAUUUAUUAUACAUUUAUUUAUGAUUAUUAGAUCCUUUAUUAUUGAUUGUUAGACUAAGUUACCUUAGGGAUAACAGCGUAAUCUUCUUUUGGAGUUCAAAUUUACAAGAAGGGUUGCGACCUCGAUGUUGGAUUAAGAUAAUAGUUGGGUGUAGUAGCUUGAUUAAUAGGUCUGUUCGACCUUUAAAUUCUUACAUGAUCUGAGUUCAGACCGG